CAGGUACCGUCAAUGCGACAUACUAUUAAUAUGAAACAAUUUCUUCCCUGUCGACAGAGCUUUACGACCCAAGGGCCUUCUUCACUCACGCGGCGUUGCUGCGUCAGGGUUUCCCCCAUUGCGCAAAAUUCCU
rnacentral:rRNA from 1 species